GACGAACGCUGGCGGCGUGCUUAACACAUGCAAGUCGAACGGAAAGGCCCUGCUUUUGUGGGGUGCUCGAGUGGCGAACGGGUGAGUAACACGUGAGUAACCUGCCCUUGACUUUGGGAUAACUUCAGGAAACUGGGGCUAAUACCGGAUAGGAGCUCCUGCUGCAUGGUGGGGGUUGGAAAGUUUCGGCGGUUGGGGAUGGACUCGCGGCUUAUCAGCUUGUUGGUGGGGUAGUGGCUUACCAAGGCUUUGACGGGUAGCCGGCCUGAGAGGGUGACCGGCCACAUUGGGACUGAGAUACGGCCCAGACUCCUACGGGAGGCAGGAGUGGGGAAUAUUGCACAAUGGGCGGAAGCCGGAUGCAGCAACGCCGCGUGCGGGAUGACGGCCUUCGGGUUGUAAACCGCUUUCGCCUGUGACGAAGCGUGAGUGACGGUAAUGGGGAAAGAAGCACCGGCUAACUACGU
rnacentral:rRNA from 1 species